rnacentral:rRNA from 1 species
GACGGGUGGAGCGCAGAGAAGAGCGAAUGCCGGAAUGAGUAGCGUCAUGUCUGUAGGAAUCAGACACACCGCAAGCCUGAGGGUUCCUGGGCAACGUUGAUCGACCCAGGGUUAGUCGGGUCCUAAGCCGAGGACAUUACGUCGUAGGCGAUGGCAAGCAGGGCGGAUGCUCCUGCACCAGAGCGCAUCGUUAUCGAGCGAAGGGGGGACGCGGUAGGGAACAUGAACCCAGCAAAUGGACAGGCUGGGCUGCCCGCACGAAGUGCGCGCGCCAGGAAAAUCCGGCGCGCACGAGCAUGACGACGGGCACGAGCUGGCGCAAGCUGGCGGAAGUCAUGGCCUCCCAGGCCGCCCAGAAAAGCCUCUAGCCAGAUGUGGCUCUGCCCGUACCGCAAACCGACACCGGUAGGCCGGGGGACGACCCCCAAGGUGAGCGAGCGAACCUCUGUCAAGGAACUCGGCAAAUUGACCCCGUACCUUUGGAAGAAGGGGGACCCUGGUAGCCGUUCUCUCUUGCGAGAGAGGGGUGAGCGGGUCGCAGGAAAAGGGCUCAAGCGACUGUUUACC